GGGGAAUAUUGGACAAUGGGGGCAACCCUGAUCCAGCAAUGCCGCGUGUGUGAAGAAGGUCUUCGGAUUGUAAAGCACUUUCGACGGGGACGAUGAUGACGGUACCCGUAGAAGAAGCCCCGGCUAACUUCGUGCCAGCAGCCGCGGUAAUACGAAGGGGGCUAGCGUUGCUCGGAAUGACUGGGCGUAAAGGGCGUGUAGGCGGUUUACACAGUCAGAUGUGAAAUCCCCGGGCUUAACCUGGGAGCUGCAUUUGAUACGUGUAGACUAGAGUGUGAGAGAGGGUUGUGGAAUUCCCAGUGUAGAGGUGAAAUUCG
rnacentral:rRNA from 1 species